GGAAAAGCAGGCACCGUAUUUAAACAGAUGAGAUGAGAUGCAACAUUUGCUGUGUGAUGCAUACUUAGACCAGGGUAUGGCACAAACAAGCGCAAAAGCAGGCACCGUAUUUAAACAGAUGAGAUGAGAUGCGACAUACGCUGUGUGAUGCAUACUUAGACCAGGGUAUGGCACAAACAAGCGGGAAAAGCAGGCACCGUAUUUAAACAGAUGAGAUGAGAUGCAACAUUUGCUGUGUGAUGCAUACUUAGACCAGGGUAUGGCACAAACAAGCGCAAAAGCAGGCACCGUAUUUAAACAGAUGAGAUGAGAUGCGACAUAUGCUGUGUGAUGCAUACUUAGACCAGAUUGGAAAAUCUGGGUAAACCACAUCACAUUCAACAAGCAGCAUUUGGCAGCAGGAGCUUUUAAGCAGCUUUUGGCAGUACUCUGGUUCUAAAAUUCCUACAAUACUACUGUUGGGUUAAAAGAUGUAACUAGAACAAUGGAGCAUGUAAGGAAGUUUUGAUCCCGGCAGCCAAGAAGCGACACCCCUAAACACCAUUUAAGAAGGACAAUA